rnacentral:rRNA from 1 species
CUCGAGGCCAGAUCUUUCCGGUUGAUCCCGCCGGACCUGACUGCUAUCGGAUUGAUACUAAGCCAUGCGAGUCUUUGUAGCAAUACAAGGCAGACGGCUCAGUAACACGUAGUCAAUCUACCCUAUGGACGGGGAUAACCUCGGGAAACUGAGAAUAAUACCCGAUAGAUCAUUAUGCCUGGAAUGGUUUAUGGUCGAAAUGAUUAUCGCCGUAGGAUGGGACUGCGGUCUAUCAGCUUGUUGGUGAGGUAAUGGCCCACCAAGGCUAUAACAGAUACGGGCUCUGAGAGGAGAAGCCCGGAGAUGGGUACUGAGACACGGACCCAGGCCCUAUGGGGCGCAGCAGGCGAGAAAACUUUGCAAUGUGCGAAAGCACGACAAGGUUAAUCCGAGUGUUUUCUGCUAAAGAAAUCUUUUGUCAGUCCUAAAAACACUGAUGAAUAAGGGGUGGGCAAGUUCUGGUGUCAGCCGCCGCGGUAAAACCAGCACCUCAAGUGGUCAGGAGGAUUAUUGGGCCUAAAGCAUCCGUAGCCGGCCGUGUAAGUUUUCGGUUAAA